CAGCGCCGCGGGUUUUUCCCGGGGAUGAACCAGCGAGAGUGGGAGAGCUCCGGAGAACAUCUACGCUGUGUGUCGAUGCACUUUACGAGAGAAUAAGACCAGCAAGCAAGGCAACUGCAAUGAAGCACCAAGAAAGACAUGAGCAGGCCAGCCACCCUGAGACUGAUAAUUCAUGAGAAGACAUUUCUGUCAAAGUGGAUGGUGAGCAAAGAUGGUGGCCACGUUUUGGAGCAGGACCUGGGUUUUGCAGAGAGCUAUGUAUUCUUUGGCUGUUUGUCUUUUUCCCCCAUUUUGUUUCUGUUGCCUAAAGAUUCUUUGUGAGGAUAAAUCCAGAGGACACAACAU